UACGUAGGGUGCAAGCGUUGUCCGGAAUUAUUGGGCGUAAAGAGCUCGUAGGCGGCCUGCUGCGUCUGCUGUGAAAGCCCGGGGCUUAACCCCGGGUCUGCAGUGGAUACGGGCAGGCUAGAGUUCGGCAGGGGAGACUGGAAUUCCUGGUGUAGCGGUGAAAUGCGCAGAUAUCAGGAGGAACACCGGUGGCGAAGGCGGGUCUCUGGGCCGAUACUGACGCUGAGGAGCGAAAGCGUGGGGAGCGAACAGG
rnacentral:rRNA from 1 species